UUCUCAAAAAUCUUCAAUGAUGGAGAUGCCACAACCUCUCUAAACAAUUUGUUCCAAUGCUUACCUACACUGAGAGUUAAGAAGUUUUUCCUAAUGUCCACCCUAAACCUCCCUUGCUGCAAUUUAUGUCCAUUACUUAAUUUUUCACCCUUCUCCUUGUAAUGACUUUUUAUGUACUUAAAAACUCUUAUGUCCCCCCAUAGUCUUCCUGUCUCAGGGCUAAACAAACCCAAUUUUUUCAGUCUUUCCUCAUGGGUCAGGGUGGACUUACGUCAUUUUUGUUGCUUUUCUCUGGACUUUCUCCAGUUUGUCCAUGUCUUUUCUGAUAUAUGGCCACCAGAACUGGACACAUCACAGAGUAGAAUGGAAGAAUUACUUCUCAUGUUUUGCUUACAACCCUGCUGCUAAUACAGGAGUUCAGUACAGAAUUAUGUUUGCUUUUUUUGCAACAGUGUUACACUAUUGACUCAUUUUUAGCUUGGGAUCCACUAUAAUCCCUAGAUCUCCUUCAUUAAUACUCCUUCCUAGGCAGUCAUUUCCUAUGGCAUCUUACUGUUCCCUCUCCCACUGCCUCAGGGAGGAGGUGGAAGGAGAGUGGCAAGGGUCUGACUGAUAUUUAUGGAUAUGAUUUUGUCACAUUUUAUUAGGAAAAAUGCAUGGAACAGUCAUGGUAAAAAUGUACAAAAUCAGGAUGUGGUCACGUGGGGGCCGAAGUCCAAGCCCCGCUGUGGGAGGGCUGAAGCUGGAGCCGAAGAAGUCGCAGCCAUCUGUUAAACUCAUGGAAUCCGUGACCAAAUUAGAAAUUUAACUGGCACAUAAUUUAAUGCAGGAAAGAAGAUUAUCUGUCUUCAUAACAAAGAGAAACCUUUGGGCAGUCUGACUGUUUUCUUCUGUUUACUUUUUAUGAUCAGAGAGCAUUUUUGACAAUAACUGUUAACAGUGAAGAUCAUACAGUCCCAAGGAUACAAACAAAGUGCCUGCCAAUUUGGGUAGAAGCCCAUCCUAUCUCUCUGAGUUUGGAAAUUUGUCAUAUUUCUGAUUUCUCAUAGUUAAUUUUGAAUUUGGAGCAGUGACCAUAUUUGUUUCUCUCAUCAAGCCCUGGUACUCAGGGGAAAAGAAAAAUAAUGUUGUAUAGUGUCUGUGUGUCACAAAAGGAGAAAUGAAAGAGGUUCUCCCAACAGACUUCUCUUAAAGCCAACAGCCGUAUAGUCUUGGGCUGUGACCUUGUCAGCACUAAGUAGAGUCAGGUGUGAUCAGUACUUGGAUGAGAUACUUCCAAGGAAAAUCGAGGAUGUUGCAAGUGAUGCUGGUAAUUCAGUAGGGGAUGUCUUUCUUUCUUUCUUUCUUUCUUUCUUUCUUUCUUUCUUUCUUUCUUUCUUUCUUUCUUUCUUUCUUUCUUUCAACUGAACCAUUAUACUAUUGUGUGUUUGGUUGGGUAGGGCAGAGGCAGAGAGGUGGCAUUUUUUAUAUGAGACAUAAAACCAAGUUUCUGACUGUUUGUAAUCAUUAAAGAUUUCAUCACACUUUCUCAAGGAAAGGGUGUUCCUCUUUGUAUUGUACUUUGUGGUGAAAAUACUAUAUUUUGCAGAAGUAAAAUAUUAAGUGAG